UACGUAGGGUGCGAGCGUUAAUCGGAAUUACUGGGCGUAAAGCGUGCGCAGGCGGUUAUGCAAGACAGAUGUGAAAUCCCCGGGCUCAACCUGGGAACUGCAUUUGUGACUGUAUAGCUAGAGUACGGUAGAGGGGGAUGGAAUUCCGCGUGUAGCAGUGAAAUGCGUAGAGAUGCGGAGGAACACCGAUGGCGAAGGCAGCCCCCUGGGCCAAUACUGACGCUCAGGCACGAAAGCGUGGGGAGCAAACAGG
rnacentral:rRNA from 1 species